UCUAGCUACAGGCUUAACACAUGCAAGUCGAGGGGCAGCAUGGUCUUAGCUUGCUAAGGCCGAUGGCGACCGGCGCACGGGUGAGUAACACGUAUCCAACCUGCCGUCUACUCUUGGACAGCCUUCUGAAAGGAAGAUUAAUACAAGAUGGCAUCAUGAGUCCGCAUGUUCACAUGAUUAAAGGUAUUCCGGUAGACGAUGGGGAUGCGUUCCAUUAGAUAGUAGGCGGGGUAACGGCCCACCUAGUCUUCGAUGGAUAGGGGUUCUGAGAGGAAGGUCCCCCACAUUGGAACUGAGACACGGUCCAAACUCCUACGGGAGGCAGCAGUGAGGAAUAUUGGUCAAUGGGUGAGAGCCUGAACCAGCCAAGUAGCGUGAAGGAUGACUGCCCUAUGGGUUGUAAACUUCUUUUAUAAAGGAAUAAAGUCGGGUAUGGAUACCCGUUUGCAUGUACUUUAUGAAUAAGGAUCGGCUAACUCCGUGCCAGCAGCCGCGGUAAUACGGAGGAUCCGAGCGUUAUCCGGAUUUAUUGGGUUUAAAGGGAGCGUAGAUGGAUGUUUAAGUCAGUUGUGAAAGUUUGCGGCUCAACCGUAAAAUUGCAGUUGAUACUGGAUAUCUUGAGUGCAGUUGAGGCAGGCGGAAUUCGUGGUGUAGCGGUGAAAUGCUUAGAUAUCACGAAGAACUCCGAUUGCGAAGGCAGCCUGCUAAGCUGCAACUGACAUUGAGGCUCGAAAGUGUGGGUAUCAAACAGGAUUAGAUACCCUGGUAGUCCACACGGUAAACGAUGAAUACUCGCUGUUUGCGAUAUACAGCAAGCGGCCAAGCGAAAGCGUUAAGUAUUCCACCUGGGGAGUACGCCGGCAACGGUGAAACUCAAAGGAAUUGACGGGGGCCCGCACAAGCGGAGGAACAUGUGGUUUAAUUCGAUGAUACGCGAGGAACCUUACCCGGGCUUAAAUUGCAGAUGAAUUACGGUGAAAGCCGUAAGCCGCAAGGCAUCUGUGAAGGUGCUGCAUGGUUGUCGUCAGCUCGUGCCGUGAGGUGUCGGCUUAAGUGCCAUAACGAGCGCAACCCUUGUUGUCAGUUACUAACAGGUCAUGCUGAGGACUCUGACAAGACUGCCAUCGUAAGAUGUGAGGAAGGUGGGGAUGACGUCAAAUCAGCACGGCCCUUACGUCCGGGGCUACACACGUGUUACAAUGGGGGGUACAGAGGGCCGCUACCACGCGAGUGGAUGCCAAUCCCAAAAACCUCUCUCAGUUCGGACUGGAGUCUGCAACCCGACUCCACGAAGCUGGAUUCGCUAGUAAUCGCGCAUCAGCCACGGCGCGGUGAAUACGUUCCCGGGCCUUGUACACACCGCCCGUCAAGCCAUGGGAGCCGGGGGUACCUGAAGUGCGUAACCGCGAGGAGCGCCCUAGGGUAAAACUGGUG
rnacentral:rRNA from 1 species